UGCAAGUCGAACGAACCUUCGGGUUAGUGGCGGACGGGUGAGUAACGCGUGAGAAUCUGCCCUCAGGAGGGGGAUAACGGUUGGAAACGACCGCUAAUACCCCAUAUGCCUACUGGUGAAAUGAAUUUCGCCUGAGGAUGAGCUCGCGUCUGAUUAGCUAGUUGGUGAGGUGAUGGCUCACCAAGGCUUCGAUCAGUAGCUGGUCUGAGAGGAUGAUUAGCCACACUGGGACUGAGACACGGCCCAGACUCCUACGGGAGGCAGCAGUGGGGAAUUUUCCGCAAUGGGCGAAAGCCUGACGGAGCAACGCCGCGUGAGGGACGAAGGCCUCUGGGCUGUAAACCUCUUUUCUCAAGGAAGAAGAUAUGACGGUACUUGAGGAAUAAGCCACGGCUAAUUCCGUGCCAGCAGCCGCGGUAAUACGGGAGUGGCAAGCGUUAUCCGGAAUUAUUGGGCGUAAAGCGUCCGCAGGCGGCUUUUCAAGUCUGCUGUUAAAGCGUGGAGCUUAACUCCAUCAUGGCAGUGGAAACUGAAAGGCUUGAGUAUGGUAGGGGCAGAGGGAAUUCCCGGUGUAGCGGUGAAAUGCGUAGAUAUCGGGAAGAACACCAGUGGCGAAGGCGCUCUGCUGGGCCAUUACUGACGCUCAUGGACGAAAGCCAGGGGAGCGAAAGGGAUUAGAUACCCCUGUAGUCCUGGCCGUAAACGAUGAACACUAGGUGUCGGGGGAAUCGACCCCUUCGGUGUCGUAGCUAACGCGUUAAGUGUUCCGCCUGGGGAGUACGCACGCGAGUGUGAAACUCAAAGGAAUUGACGGGGGCCCGCACAAGCGGUGAGUAUGUGUUUAAUUCGAUGCAACGCGAAGAUCUUACCAGGGUUUGACAUCCUGCGAACCUCUUAGAAUUUGAGGGUGCCUUUCGGGAAUGCAGUGACAGUGUGCAUGCUUGUCGUCAGCUCGUGUCGUGAGAUGUUGGUUAAGUCCCGCAACGAGCGCAACCACGUUUUUAGUUGCCAGCAUUUAGUUGGCACUUCUAAAAAGACCGCCGUGAUAAACGGAGGAGGGUGUGAUGACGUCAAGCUAUCUAUGCCCUUUAACCCUGGCUACCCCGUAUAAAAUGCUACGACAGGGCACAUCUCUGCGGAGCUAAUCUAACCGGUCAUUCGAAGGAGCUGCCACUCCCACGGAGAGAGAACCGCCAUGCAAUCGC
rnacentral:rRNA from 1 species